rnacentral:lncRNA from 1 species
UGUGCAUUGUAAAAACAAUUCACGGAUAAGCACAGGGAUUUCACUGUUUUCUGCUAUCUGGAUUUUCCCAAAGAUCCGCUAAAUCCUAAACUUCAUCUUGGUCUGAAGAAGGGCAAGUCCUCUCUCCAGCUCUUCAUUUGCUGACUCUCACUGAUGCAAGAAGAAUGAAGUCUCUUACCUGCCUUCUCCUAGGACAUCCUGGGAGAAACUGUGACUGCUGGUGAUUUUUGCUGUUAAAAUAGCC